rnacentral:rRNA from 1 species
AGACAUGCAAGUCGAGCGAACAGAAGGGAGCUUGCUCCCGGAUGUUAGCGGCGGACGGGUGAGUAACACGUGGGUAACCUGCCUGUAAGACUGGGAUAACUCCGGGAAACCGGAGCUAAUACCGGAUAGUUCCUUGAACCGCAUGGUUCAAGGAUGAAAGACGGUUUCGGCUGUCACUUACAGAUGGACCCGCGGCGCAUUAGCUAGUUGGUGGGGUAAUGGCUCACCAAGGCGACGAUGCGUAGCCGACCUGAGAGGGUGAUCGGCCACACUGGGACUGAGACACGGCCCAGACUCCUACGGGAGGCAGCAGUAGGGAAUCUUCCGCAAUGGACGAAAGUCUGACGGAGCAACGCCGCGUGAGUGAUGAAGGUUUUCGGAUCGUAAAGCUCUGUUGUUAGGGAAGAACAAGUGCGAGAGUAACUGCUCGCACCUUGACGGUACCUAACCAGAAAGCCACGGCUAACUACGUGCCAGCAGCCGCGGUAAUACGUAGGUGGCAAGCGUUGUCCGGAAUUAUUGGGCGUAAAGGGCUCGCAGGCGGUUUCUUAAGUCUGAUGUGAAAGCCCCCGGCUCAACCGGGGAGGGUCAUUGGAAACUGGGAAACUUGAGUGCAGAAGAGGAGAGUGGAAUUCCACGUGUAGCGGUGAAAUGCGUAGAGAUGUGGAGGAACACCAGUGGCGAAGGCGACUCUCUGGUCUGUAACUGACGCUGAGGAGCGAAAGCGUGGGGAGCGAACAGGAUUAGAUACCCUGGUAGUCCACGCCGUAAACGAUGAGUGCUAAGUGGUUAGGGGGUUUCCGCCCCUUAGUGCUGCAGCUAACGCAUUAAGCACUCCGCCUGGGGGAGUACGGUCGCAAGACUGAAACUCAAAGGAAUUGACGGGGGCCGCACAAGCGGUGGAACAUGU